GAGUUUGAUCAUGGCUCAGGAUGAACGCCGGCGGUGUGCCUAAUGCAUGCAAGUCGUACGCACUGGCCCAACUGAUUGAUGGUGCUUGCACCUGAUCGACGAUGGAUCACCAGUGAGUGGCGGACGGGUGAGUAACACGUAGGUAACCUGCCCUGUACAGGGGGAUAACAAUCAGAAAUGACUGCUAAUACCGCAUAAGACCACAGCACCGCAUGGUGCAGGGGUAAAACUACCGGUGGUACAGGAUGGACCCGCGUCUGAUUAGCUGGUUGGUGAGGUAACGGCUCACCAAGGCGACGAUCAGUAGCCGGCUUGAGAGAGUGAACGGCCACAUUGGGACUGAGACACGGGCCCAAACUCCUACGGGAGGCAGCAGUGGGGAAUAUUGCACAAUGGGGAAACCCUGAUGCAGCAACGCCGCGUGAGUGAAGAAGUAUUUCGGUAUGUAAAGCUCUAUCAGCAGGAAGAAGUGACGGUACCUGACUAAG
rnacentral:rRNA from 1 species